rnacentral:rRNA from 1 species
CAGCCGCCGCGGGAAUACAGAGGAUGCAAGCGUUAAUCGGAAUGAUUGGGCAUAAAGCGUCUGUAGGUGGCUUUUUAAGUCCGCCGUCAAAUCCCAGGGCUCAACCCUGGAGAGGCGGUGGAAACUACCAAGCUGGAGUACGGUAGGGGCAGAGGGAAUUUCCGGUGAGCGGUGAAAUGCGUUGAGAUCGGAAAGAACACCAACGGUGAAAGCACUCUGCUGGGCCGACACUGACACUGAGAGACGAAAGCUACGGGAGCAAAUGGGAUUAGAUACCCCUGUAGUCCCUGUCUCUUAUACA